GACGGAGGUUGCAAGCGUUAUCCGGAAUGAUUGGGCGUAAAGCGUCUGCAGGUGGCUGUUCAAGUCUGCUGUCAAAGACCGGGGCUUAACUUCGGAACGGCAGUGGAAACUGAACAGCUAGAGUAUGGUAGGGGCAGAGGGAAUUCCUGGUGUAGCGGUGAAAUGCGUAGAGAUCAGGAAGAACAUCGGUGGCGAAGGCGCGCUGCUGGACCAGAACUGACACUCAGGGACGAAAGCUAGGGGAGCGAAUGGG
rnacentral:rRNA from 1 species